rnacentral:lncRNA from 1 species
AGAUAUUUACAGAGCCUCAAAGUAUCUCCAUACAAAAUACGGUUGAACUACAAAAAGAAAAUCAUAACAUUAGCAUGGACAAACCUGGCAGAUGUGGCUUACCCGUGGAUUCUAGAGAAGAAAGUAGAUGGGAGCAAGUGUCCAACACAGCAGCAGCUGGAAAGAAAAAUAAAGAAUUAUGUUCUUUACCUAAAACACUUCAGUUGACUAAGUGUGCGUUUAAAAACUAAAGAGUUGAUAACUUUAUCAGAGUUAAUAAGAAUGAG